rnacentral:rRNA from 1 species
UACCCCAUAUGCUUGAGAGUGAAACGGAUUUAUCCGCCUAGAGAAAAGCUCGCGGCUGAUUACGCUAGUUGGUAAGGUAAUGGCUUACCAAGGCGACGAUCAGUAUCUGGUUUGAGAGGACGAUCAGACACACUGGAACUGAGACACGGUCCAGACUCCUACGGGAGGCAUCAGUGGGGAAUUUUCCGCAUGGGCGAAAGCCUGACGAAGCAAUACCGCGUGAGGGAAGACGGCCUAUGGUUGUAAACCUCUUUUUUCAGGGAGGAAUCAAUGACGUGUACCUGAAGAUAAGCAUCGUGCCAGCAGCCGCGGUAAGACGGAGGAUGCA